rnacentral:lncRNA from 1 species
GGGAUGGAGGGAUGAGGUAGAGGGAAGGAGGGAUGAGGUAGAGGGAUGGGGGGAUGAGGUAGAGGGAUAGAGGGAUGAGGUGGAGGGAUGAGGUAGAGGGAUAGAAGGAUGAGGUGGAGGGAUGAGGUAGAGGGAUGAGGUAGAGGGAUAGAGGGAUGAGGUAGAGUGAUGAGGUAGAGGGAUAGAGGGAUGAGGUAGAGGGAUGAGGUAGAGGGAUAGAGGGAUGAGGUGGAGGGAUGAGGUAGAGUGAUGAGGUAGAGGGAUAGAGGGAUGAGGUAGAGGGAUGAGGUAGAGGGAUGAGGAAGAGGGAUAGAGGGAUGAGGUAGAGGGAUGAGAUAGAGGGAUGAGGUAGAGGGAUAGAGGGAUAGAGGGAUGAGGUAGAGGGAUGAGGUAGAGGGAUAGAGGGAUGAGGUGGAGGGAUGAGGUAGAGGGAUGUGGUAGAGGGAUAGAGGGAUGAGGUAGAGGGAUGAGGUAGAGGGAUAGAGGGAUGAGGUGGAGGGAUGAGAUAGAGGGAUGAGGUACAGGGUGAGGAUGAUGUCAGGAUCCUCAGGGUCACGUCUGUUCAGCCUCAGGAAGGGAGCGGUGGUUUUAGUGUAUUUUAUUAAUAAAGGAAAGACUGGACAGGCGUGAGAGUGGCCUCUCACCUGACUUACUGUAACUAUGUGUCUGUGUUCCUGUAAAGGGGUGUUCUGCUCUAGCUGGUUUUAAUAUACAGAACAAAAACAGGCUUCAGAGUCCAG